GCCCUACGGGAAGAGAUGGAGGCAACAAUGGUUAGCGGGAGGCGAGGCCAAGGGGACUCCGCCCUCUGUUUACCCGACCGCACAAAGAAGGCUGGCGCGUGCAGUGAGGGCCGGAGGUGCGCAGCUGGAGGAAAUUAGGGCCAGGGGCGUCCUGGGGACUCACCAGAGAGAGGUCCCAGAAGCAGGAGAUGGCCGAGAAGAUGGUCCCGGAGGUUGCAAGCGGAGAGGAAAUCGGAGGGCGGUCGGAGGCUGGAAGAGAGUCCCCGGAUCUGUUCCGUCCAAACACUGUUGAAGCAAGAGACAGACCCGCG
rnacentral:lncRNA from 1 species